CACGUAGGGGGCAAGCGUUGUCCGGAUUUAUUGGGCGUAAAGAGCUCGUAGGCGGUUAGGUAAGUCGGGUGUGAAACCUCCAGGCUCAACCUGGAGACGCCACCCGAUACUGCUGUGACUAGAGUCCGGUAGGGGAGCGUGGAAUUCCUGGUGUAGCGGUGAAAUGCGCAGAUAUCAGGAGGAACACCAGCGGCGAAGGCGGCGCUCUGGGCCGGAACUGACGCUGAGGAGCGAAAGCGUGGGGAGCAAACAGG
rnacentral:rRNA from 1 species